AGCUCAGCUGGUUAGAGCAUCAGAUUGUGGUUCUGAGGGUCGUGGGUUCGAACCCCAUCU
rnacentral:tRNA from 1 species